AGCGAACGCUGGCGGCAGGCCUAACACAUGCAAGUCGAACGGAUCCUUCGGGAUUAGUGGCGGACGGGUGAGUAACACGUGGGAACGUGCCCUUUGGUUCGGAACAACUCAGGGAGACUUGAGCUAAUACCGGAUGUGCCCUUCGGGGGAAAGAUUUAUCGCCAUUGGAGCGGCCCGCGUCUGAUUAGCUAGUUGGUGAGGUAACGGACCACCAAGGCGACGAUCAGUAGCUGGUCUGAGAGGAUGAUCAGCCACACUGGGACUGAGACACGGCCCAGACUCCUACGGGAAGCAGCAGUGGGGAAUCUUGCGCAAUGGGCGAAAGCCUGACGCAGCCAUGCCGCGUGAAUGAUGAAGGUCUUAGGAUUGUAAAAUUCUUUCAGCGGGGACGAUAAUGACGGUACCCGCAGAAGAAGCUCCGGCUAACUUCGUG
rnacentral:rRNA from 1 species